GAUGAACGCUAGCGGGAGGCUUAACACAUGCAAGUCGAGGGGCAGCAUAGGGUAGCAAUACUCUGAUGGCGACCGGCGAACGGGUGAGUAACGCGUUGGUGACCUGCCCCGAAGAGGGGGAUAACAGUCCGAAAGGAUUGCUAAUACCCCAUGUGGUCAUAUGGAUUAGAUGCCUAAUGACUAAACGGAUUUAUUCGCUUCGGGAGGGGCCUGCGUCCCAUCAGCUAGUUGGUAAGGUAAUGGCUUACCAAGGCGAUGACGGGUAGGGGACCUGAGAGGGUGGCCCCCCACAAUGGAACUGAAACACGGUCCAUACACCUACGGGUGGCAGCAGUAGGGAAUAUUGGUAAUCUGGGAAACCGGGAACCAGCAACGCCGCGUGCACGAUGAAGGCCUUCGGGUCGUAAAGUGCUUUUUGAAGGGAUGAGGAAGGACAGUACCUUCAGAAUAAGCCUCGGCUAACUACGUG
rnacentral:rRNA from 1 species